UACGGGGGGGGGCAAGCGUUUGUUCGGAAUUACUGGGCGUAAAGGGCUCGUAGGCGGCCAACUAAGUCAGACGUGAAAUCCCCUCGAUCUAACCGGGGGAACUGCUCUGAUACUGGAUGGCUUGGAUUCGGGAGAGGGAUGCGGAAUUCCAGGUGUAGCGGUAGAAAUGCGUAGAUAUCUGGAGGAACACCGGUGGCGAAGGCGGCAUCCUGGACCGGCAUUGACGCUGAGGCGCGAAAGCCAGGGGGAGCAAAGCGGG
rnacentral:rRNA from 1 species